GACGAACGCUGGCGGCGUGCUUAACACAUGCAAGUCGAACGGAAAGGCCCUGCUUUUGUGGGGUGCUUGAGUGGCGAACGGGUGAGUAACACGUGAGUAACCUGCCCUUGACUUUGGGAUAACUUCAGGAAACUGGGGCUAAUACCGGAUAGGAGCUCCUGCUGCACGGUGGGGGUUGGAAAGUUUCGGCGGUUGGGGAUGGACUCGCGGCUUAUCAGCUUGUUGGUGGGGUAGUGGCUUACCAAGGCUUUGACGGGUAGCCGGCCUGAGAGGGUGACCGGCCACAUUAGGACUGAGAUACGGCCCAGACUCCUACGGGAGGCAGCAGUGGAGAAUAUUGCACAAUAGGCGGAAGCCUGAUGCAGCGACGCCGCGUGCGGGAUGACGGCCUUCGGGUUGUAAACCGCUUUCGCCUGUGACGAAGCGUGAGUGACGGUAAUGGGUAAAGAAGCACCGGCUAACUACGUG
rnacentral:rRNA from 1 species